ACACACAUAUAUAUAUAUUAUAUAUACAAUAGAAAAUGCUGAAUAAAUAAGUUAUAUAGAAGCAUAUACUGAAUGUAUAUAAAAUAGAGGGUAGUAGACAUACCUUAGUGGCUUAGACUCAAAAAUCAAUAGACAGGUGUUCUUAGUCCUACAACAAGGAUUGUGCAAGUAGUUCAUAAAAAAAAUAGAAAAUAGAAAAUAGCAAGUUGAUACUUAUCUGAUUACCAGCCAUCUCCCAUCCAUUUAAUGAACACACCAUAGCAGAUCAGCAACAGCUAGCAAUCACAGAUAAGUGGACAGGAAUGACAGCAGUACAAGUGCACAACACAAUUCAUAAAUAAAGAUCUUGUUCCGACAACAAAUAGUUCUCAGAAAAGAAGAAAAACAGUCACACAGCAGCAGCAGUUCACAAGUUUAAGACACACAUUGGCACAUAGCAUCACAAAAGAUAAACCAUGACAUGAGAAAAUGCCCUAGGACCGUAUCCUAUUCCUUCUUCAAUAGGGUUCCAAGUAUUCAUCCUCAUCUUCAUCAAACUCUUCUUUAUCAGAUUCAAACUCUUCUCCUUCAUAGAGCUCUCUCACUCUAGCACUCCUAUGCAGCUGAAGCUGUUUUUUUGCUCCCACUGCAUCUCCAAGAAUAGACCAAGGUAUCUCAGUACCUUCCAUCUCUUCUUCCUCCUCCUCAUCUCUAUAGACCACUAAUGCAUAAUCAUCUCCAUUCUCAUGCAAAAAUCCUUGAGCUUCAAGUGUAUCAUUAGACAAGAGAACAUCAC
rnacentral:lncRNA from 1 species